ACUCAGUGAGCAUAGCCUUGCUGUUGAGAAAAGCCGCCGUAGGCAGACAUGGCUCUCAAGAGAAGACAGGAGUCUUUACUAUUAAUCUACAAUGAAGAAAGUAGUCAAAUUAAAGAAAAACCCUUGAAUUUAUAUAUUUACGCUGCUGUGAUUCACUGAUUGGUAAGAGAGGUAAACAACACAGAAUAUGAGAGGUAAACAACACAGAAUAUGAGAGGUAAACAACACAGAAUAUGAGAGGUAAACAACACAGAAUAUGAGAGGUAAACAACACAGAAUAUGAGAGGUAAACAACACAGAAUAUGAGAGGUAAACAACACAGAAUAUGAGAGGUAAACAACACAGAAUAUGAGAGGUAAACAACACAGAAUAUGAGAGGUAAACAACACAGAAUAUGAGAGGUAAACAACACAGAAUAUGAGAGGUAAACAACACAGAAUAUGAGAGGUAAACAACACAGAAUAUGAGAGGUAAACAACACAGAAUAUGAGAGGUAAACAACACAGAAUAUGAGAGGUAAACAACACAGAAUAUGAGAGGUAAACAACACAGAAUAUGAGAGGUAAACAACACAGAAUAUGAGAGGUAAACAACACAGAAUAUGAGAGGUAAACAACACAGAAUA